GGGCGGAUGGAGCCAAGUGGAUCAAGGCAGUGGAUUUGUGAAUCC
rnacentral:tRNA from 1 species